UUGCGCUGAAUGAGAUUUUAACACGAAGUGAGUGGCGGACGGGUGAGUAACACGUGGGUAACCUGCCCAGAAGCAGGGGAUAACACCUGGAAACAGAUGCUAAUACCGUAUAACAGAGAAAACCGCCUGGUUUUCUUUUAAAAGAUGGCUCUGCUAUCACUUCUGGAUGGACCCGCGGCGCAUUAGCUAGUUGGUGAGGUAACGGCUCACCAAGGCGAUGAUGCGUAGCCGACCUGAGAGGGUAAUCGGCCACAUUGGGACUGAGACACGGCCCCGACUCCUACGGGAGGCAGCAGUAGGGAAUCUUCCACAAUGGACGCAAGUCUGAUGGAGCAACGCCGCGUGAGUGAAGAAGGGUUUCGGCUCGUAAAGCUCUGUUGUUAAAGAAGAACGUGGGUGAGAGUAACUGUUCACCCAGUGACGGUAUUUAACCAGAAAGCCACGGCUAACUACGUGCCAGCAGCCGCGGUAAUACGUAGGUGGCAAGCGAUUAUCCGGAUUUAUUGGGCGUAAAGCGAGCGCAGGCGGUCUUUUAAGUCUA
rnacentral:rRNA from 1 species